GGCUGCUUCUUGCUGCAAAGAAC
rnacentral:siRNA from 1 species